rnacentral:rRNA from 1 species
GACGAACGCUGGCGGCGUGCUUAACACAUGCAAGUCGAACGGAAAGGCCCUGCUUUUGUGGGGUGCUCGAGUGGCGAACGGGUGAGUAACACGUGAGUAACCUGCCCUUGACUUUGGGAUAACUUCAGGAAACUGGGGCUAAUACCGGAUAGGAGCUCCUGCUGCAUGGUGGGGGUUGGAAAGUUUCGGCGGUUGGGGAUGGACUCGCGGCUUAUCAGCUUGUUGGUGGGGUAGUGGCUUACCAAGGCUUUGACGGGUAGCCGGCCUGAGAGGGUGACCGGCCACAUUGGGACUGAGAUACGGCCCAGACUCCUACGGGAGGCAGCAGUGGGGAAUAUUGCACAAUGGGCGGGAGCCAGAUGCAGCAACGCCGCGUGCGGGAUGACGGCCUUCGGGUUGUAAACCGCUUUCGCCUGUGACGAAGCGUGAGUGACGGUAAUGGGUAAAGAAGCACCGGCUAACUACGUG